GAACGCUGGUCGGUAGCUACCACCAUGCCGAUCGACACUGGCUAGCACAUGGAGAGCUUGCUCUCUGGGUGGCGAGUGGCGGACGGGUGAGGAAUACAUCUGGAAUCUACUCUGUCGUGGGGGAUAACGUAGGGAAACUUACGCUAAUACCGCAUACGUACCUACGGGUGAAAGCAGGGUGACCUUCGGGCCUUGCGCGAUUGAAUGAGCCGAUGUCGGAUUAGCUAGUUGGCGGGGUAAAGGCCCACCAACGCGACGAUCCGUAGCUGGUCUGAGAGGAUGAUCAGCCACACUGGAACUGAGACACGGUCCAGACUCCUACGGGAGUGCAGCAGUGGGGAAUAUUGGACAAUGGGCGCAAUGCCUGAUCCAGCCAUACCGCGUGGGUGAAGAAGGCCUUCGGGUUGUAAAAGCCCUAUUAUGUCGGGAAAAGAAAUCCAGCUGGCUAAAUACCCGGUUGGGAUGACGGUUACCCCAAAGGAAUAAAGGCAACCGGGCUAACUUUCGUUGCCAGACAGCC
rnacentral:rRNA from 1 species